rnacentral:lncRNA from 1 species
GGAAGUUUUUCUCAUCUGCGGCUUUAUCACAAGUUGAGCUCAACAACUCCAUGUAAGGCGAACCAAUAUACGUGGGUUGUUAGCAAAGAAUAAUGCAGUGGAGCAAAGCCAACCAAGGCUCAGUGCUAGUCUCCCACUGUCUGUGGAGUCAGAUUUAUACUCCUUUAUCAAGCAAUCUUUCGUGUGUUUGCUCCCUCAAAACAUCCUUUCACCCAUGUCCACUUUAGCUAAAGUUUCCUUCAUAUGUUUGCCCUAGCAAAACACCAUCUAACUGACUUUCCAAAGGACUCUUAAAUUUCCACUUCAUUGCAUUCCUUGCCUGCAUGCCUUACCCCAGAAAGGUAAGCGCUACACAAUAUAUAUUGCAUAUAUGAUUAAUAAGAGCAAAGAGACCAAGUGAUCAGAUCCAUUUCUUUUGCUUUGAACUUGAAGUGUUUUAGCCUCUUCUGGUCUCUGUUUCCUAAUCAAUGAGAGAAUAUCCAACUCUGUGACCUCUCAAAAAUAGCACACUAAAACCAAAAUAUUCGGUGAGUGGACAGUGCUGUGGUUUGGAUCUGAAAUGUCCUUUGUGUGUUCAAGGCAUGAUCCCCAGGACCAUGCUAUUGGAAAAUGAUGCAACUUUUAGGGGGAACAGGGAGGCUUUUCAGUCCCAAGACGUGUGCCCUUGAAGGAGCCUGUGACACUCGAGUAACUCUUUAUCUUUGCUCCUGACUAUGGAGCAAACAGCUUGACUGUGCCAUGAACCCUGGCCACCAUGCCGUGCUUGCCACAAGUCUAAGAGCAAGUGUCAUGACCGUCAUGGCCCGAUGGAUCAUGGACUGCAGCCUCCGUAACAGUGAACUGAAAUAAGGCUUUCAGCCAGGAGUGAUGGGUAGCACGUGCCAAUAAUCUCAGCUCUUGGCAGGAGAAUCGGGAGUACAGAGUCAUCUUUAUCCUCGUGGUGAAUUCAAGGCCAGAUCAGGCUACAGGAGACCUCAUCUCGAGUGUCCAAAUUAAUUAAUUAAAGCUUAUCUUUGUAUAGUCUGAUUAUCUCUAGUAUUGAGUUACAGUGAUGGGAAGCAGACUCAGCCGAUAGCCCCCUCUCUGGUUAAAAGCAGCCAGGCUGAGAGAACCAUGCCAGUCCCAGGAAGCAGCAGAAAACACAAUGCAAGCAGAAGGCAGGGAGGGAAUAUUCUGCACGUAUACACACAGGCUCAAGUAUUCAUGUAAAAAAAGGGGGGGGGAUUUCUCUUGAUAUCUCCCAGUAGAAAGCCACAAAGACAGGAAAAAUGUUCAUAAUCAGCAGUUGCAUUUUUUUAAAGGUAGGUCACUCCACUUUGCUUCUCAGCAAAGUUGAGCACCUGCUCGGGAGAGGGGCUAGGGAAAGCCCUGCCUGGCGCCCUGCUUGCAGAAGGCAGCAGGGGUUUAUGGAGCAUCUUGCCCUAGGCACUACAGACUUCCUAAGAAGCCCUUAUGACUCUGGUUAGGAGGUGGGAGUGCAGAUCUUCAGGGCUGUCCUGGUCCAUUUGGUGGUGAGAAACUCGGUUUGAGACGGAUACAGAAAUCUGCCCAACUCACAGAACUAGAAACAGUUAAGAAUCCAAAGCGUGGUCGCCCAAGCCUAAAAUGGCCCCUUUAACCAUUAUUCUAUUGGGCAUCGGGCCAGCUCCACUGACAAGUGACGAUCGAUCGAUCACCUCCCUCUUUUCAGCUCUGCAGAGGACUGAUAAUGGGAGGAGAAAGCCCCAGCUGGCAUCGCCCUGGGUUCAAGCAGCCAAAAGCAUGAAGAGUUUGACCUUGGCCUUGCAUUUCUUAGAACAGUUUAGGCUAAUCCCUACGGGCAUGCUGUUGCCAAGUUGGUUCUUUCACUGUGCUCAUCAGAAGUGCCAGAAAAAUAUGCCCUCCUUCAGCCUCUGGAAGAAGAUGGUCUAAAGGGUUCACAGACAUCAAGAUGUAGCUCUUACCAAGCUCCAGCAUCAGAAGGAGUGCCUCAGCGUCUAAGUCCGUAUACACACACGCGGCUUUUCAUGCUUCCUCUGCUGGGGAGGUCACAAUCUCAGGCACCCUUCAGAGCCACUUCUGGGAGAAAAGAAGAAGAAAAAUGUCUAAUGAGCUGAGUCUCCUAAGGAAGCAUCCACAAACUCCUACCUGCCCCAGUCCCCAGUAAUCACGAGAUGGGCUGCCUUUGGUUGUCAAAACUGAUCUUCCUGCUGCGGGUGAACACGUACGGCGGAUUGUUAUGGCUUAGGGCGCUUGACUGCACUGCUGUGAAAAUAUUCAGCAGAAUUCCACAAGCUCUUUGUUUGCCUUGCCUUAGUGGAAAUUCCUCCAGCUAUCCAAACACGCACCUGGGGGAGGUUUUUUUUUUAUUCCAUGUUUCAGGAAGGGGUUUCUUCUAAGUAAAAACGUGUCCUUACCUCUCAGGAAAGACUCUUCUAAGUUCUCAGUCGAGACUUCUAGUUUGAGUUCCAGACUAGAGGAGACUGUGAACGUGUUCUGGUUGGAAAGGGAGGUGGAGCUGGAGGAGCCAGAGAGGUGUGUAGCAAAUGUUCCUCCAACAGAGCUAAGCUGGGAAAGGGAAAGGCAAUGGAAACCAACAAAGAAGGAAGCAGGAAGCAAGGCUCCCCCAGAUUCCUAGAACCCCAGGAACACAAAAGCCAGGAAGAUGAAUUGUCUUUACAGUAGUAGAGCUGUAAAUAGGAACAGGGAAGAUUCUAGGGUGAAAGAUAUCCGGGCAGCCACUGGUCACCCAGAGGGGAGUUUGUACCUUGAGUUUCGUAACACGGAAGGGAAAUUUGGAGGCCCCUUGAAAAGAACCAGAAAACAAAGGAAGUUGGGCCUGAAGAAGGCUGGGAGACCUCUCACCCAGAGACCCAGGGCUCAGGAACAGAGAAAGGGAGGUAGAGUGCUAAGUGGAUCUCAUAUUUGCUCUGUGGGCUUCUGGGAAGUGUUUGAAAACAUUCUAUUUAAACUGUGUGUCUUAAGAGGGCUCUCCACUUACAUCUAACUUAAUGUGCUCAUAUCAGCAAAUAGAAAUUAUGGGAACAUUCCAUGGGCUCCCCGCCUUCCUGGUCCUCCCUCCCUGACACCGAUACUCUGUCGUGCCUGGAGUCUGGGUGAAUGUUUGUUUCCAAGGGAUGGAAACUGAUUAAAAACUAGGAGGCUGCUUGGGAGACAUUUUUUAAUAGCAUGUGUGAGGUGAGUUCUACGGAAAGCUAGGGAGGGCAAGAAGGCCAUGCGCAGCCAGGGCUCCAUGCAGGCCAUCUAAAAAAAGAGGCUCCUCUUCUAACCCAGAGCUGCUGUCUUAAUUGUGGUGGAACUGCUCUUCAUAUUCCCUUAGCUUUUAAACACUAAACAAAGAUGAGAAAUGAACAUUUGUUUUCUUCCUCUUCUUCCUCUUCUUCUUCUUCCUCUUCUUCUUCUUCUUCUUCUUNNNNNNNNNNNNNNNNNNNNNNNNNNNNNNNNNNNNNNNNNNNNNNNNNNNNCCAGGCUGGCCUUGAACUCAGAAACCUGCCUCUGCCUCCCGAGGGCGGGGAUUAAAGGCGUGCGCCACCACUGCCCGGAUUGAACAUUUGUUUUCAAGCACACAAGGCAGAUGUGCUCAGGUAGUACAUUUAAUACUCUCCUUGGUGGCGUCUGUAUUAAAAGGGAUGUUGAAUUGCUCAAUCUUUCCUGGCUUCAGACUGUUCAUUUUGGACAGUCAACAAUUCAUGCCUUGGAAAGCAGGAGUUCUCAGCCUGGGACAGAAUCAAAGCAAAAGUAAUACCUUUAUCAGUAAUGUGGAGAAGCCUCUGAUGUCAUAAAAGCUAGGGGAAAGGGGGGAACCUAGAGAAUGUCUGUCGUUCAUAGGCUAUGGCUUACAGGAUGCUGUUCACUAGAGCUCAUAAGGAAACUUUAUCCACUAGUAUGUAAAUUGCAAAUUAAACAUAGAC